rnacentral:siRNA from 1 species
GUAUUAGCAGGUUUCUGCAAUGGG